GUCUACGGCCAUACUACCCUGAACAUGCCCGAUCUCGUCUGAUCUCGGAAGCUAAGCAGGCUCAGACCUGGUUAGUACUUGGAUGGGAGACCACCUGGGAAUACCGGGUGCCGUAGGCU
ensembl:rRNA 5S_rRNA 5S ribosomal RNA